GAUGAACGCUGGCGGCGUGCCUAAUACAUGCAAGUCGAGCGAACGGACGAGAAGCUUGCUUCUCUGAUGUUAGCGGCGGACGGGUGAGUAACACGUGGAUAACCUACCUAUAAGACUGGGAUAACUUCGGGAAACCGGAGCUAAUACCGGAUAAUAUUUUGAACCGCAUGGUUCAAAAGUGAAAGACGGUUUUGCUGUCACUUAUAGAUGGAUCCGCGCUGCAUUAGCUAGUUGGUAAGGUAACGGCUUACCAAGGCAACGAUGCGUAGCCGACCUGAGAGGGUGAUCCGCCACACUGGGACUGAGACACGGUCCAGGAUCCUACGGGAGGCAGCAGUAGGGAAUCUUGCGCAAUGGGGGGAAGCCUGACGGAGCAACGCCGCGUGAGGGAAGAAGGUCUUCGGGUCGGAAAACUCUGUUAUUAGGGAAGAAAAUAUGUGGAAGUAACUGAGGACAGCUUGACGGUACCGUAACAAAAAGCCACGGCUAACUACGUG
rnacentral:rRNA from 1 species